AAUAUUGGAUAAUGGGCGAUGGCCUGAUUCAGCCAUGCCGCGUGUGUGAAGAAGGUCUUCGUAUUGUAAAGACUUUUAAGUCGGGUGGAAGGGUUGUAGGUUAAUACUCUGCAAUUUUAACGUUUCCUACUGAACAAGCACCGGCUAACAUCAUGCCAGCCGCUGCGGUAAGACGAAGGGUGCAAGCGUUAAUUGGAAUUACUGGGCGUAAAGCGCGCGUAGGUGGUUCGUUAAGUUGGAAGUGAAAGCCCCGGGCUUAACCUGGGAAUUGCUUUCAAAACUGACGAGGUAGAGUACGGUAGAGGGUAGUGGAAUUUCCUGUGUAGCGGUGAAAUGCGUAGAUAUAGGAAGAAACAUCAGUGGCGAAGGCGACUACCUGGACUGAUACUGACACUGAGGUGCGAAAGCGUGGGGAGCAAACAG
rnacentral:rRNA from 1 species